rnacentral:rRNA from 1 species
AUUGAACGCUGGCGGCAUGCUUUACACAUGCAAGUCGAACGGCAGCGCGGGCUUCGGCCUGGCGGCGAGUGGCGAACGGGUGAGUAAUACAUCGGAACGUGCCCAGUAGUGGGGGAUAGCUCGGCGAAAGCCGGAUUAAUACCGCAUACGACCUGAGGGUGAAAGCGGGGGAUCUUCGGGCCUCGCGCUAUUGGAGCGGCCGAUGGCAGAUUAGCUAGUUGGUGGGGUAAAGGCCUACCAAGGCGACGAUCUGUAGCUGGUCUGAGAGGACGACCAGCCACACUGGGGCUUGAGAACCGGCCCAGAUCCCUCCGGGGGGCAGCAGGGGGAAUUUUUGGAAAAUGGGCGAAAGCCUGAUCCAGCAAUGCCGGGUGUGGGAGGAAGGCCUUCGGGUUGUAAAGCCCUUUUGGCGGGAACGAAAAGGACUGGGCCAAUACCACGGUUCGAUGGCGGUCCCCGCAAAAUAAGCACCGGCUAACUACGG